AGAGUUUGAUCCUGGCUCAGGAUGAACGCUGGCGGCAUGCCUAAUACAUGCAAGUCGAACGAGGAUCCUUCGGGAUCCUAGUGGCGAACGGGUGAGUAACACGUAGGGAACCUGCCCGCGCACCGGGAAUACGCUCUGGAAACGGAGAACAAAUCCCGAUGUACAGGAAGGAGGCAUCUUCUUUCUGUGAAACAUCCUGUAAGGGAUGGGGCGCGGAUGGACCUGCGGUGCAUUAGUUAGUUGGCGAGGGUAAAGGCCCACCAAGACGAUGAUGCAUAGCCGGCCUGAGAGGGCGGACGGCCACAUUGGGACUGAGACACGGCCCAGACUCCUGCGGGAGGCAGCAGUAGGGAAUUUUCGUCAAUGGGCGCAAGCCUGAACGAGCGAUGCCGCGUGAGUGAAGAAGGCCUUCGGGUCGUAAAGCUCUGUUGCGGGGGAAAAAAGGCAUCUGCAGGAAAUGGUAGAUGACAGAUGGUGCCCCGCCAGAAAGUCACGGCUAACUACGUGCCAGCAGCCGCGGUAAUACGUAGGUGGCGAGCGUUAUCCGGAAUGAUUGGGCGUAAAGGGUGCGCAGGCGGUCCUGCAAGUCUGGAGUGAAACGUAUGAGCUCAACUCAUGCAUGGCUCUGGAAACUGGAGGACUGGAGAGCAGGAGAGGGCGGUGGAACUCCAUGUGUAGCGGUAAAAUGCGUAGAUAUAUGGAAGAACACCAGUGGCGAAGGCGGCCGCCUGGCCUGUUGCUGACGCUGAGGCACGAAAGCGUGGGGAGCAAA
rnacentral:rRNA from 1 species